GAAUUCACUGAAGAACUGAGCAGAAAGCAGCAAGAGGUAGAGGCAGCCAUGAGAAGUUGCAAGAGGAGGCUGGAGCCAUCACCACCAGUACCCCCACAACCUCCACCAAGUGAGAACCCUCCCCCUGACAUGACUUCUUGAGUGACUCUCAUCUGGCUAGUGGCACCAAUACCCUUCUACUUUGACAAUGGCACCAAUACUCUUCUACCUUGACAAUGGCACUACUACCCACCUACCUUGCCAGUGGCACCAAUACCCUUCUACCUUGACAGUGGCACCAAUACCCUCCUACCUUGCCAGUGGCACCAAUACUCUCCUACCUUGCCAGUGGCACCAAUACCCUUCUACCUUGACAGUGGCACCAAUACCCUCCUACCUUGCCAGUGGCACCAAUACCCUCCUACCUUGACAGUGGCACCAAUACCCUCCUACCUUGCCAGUGGCACCAAUACCCUCCUACCUUGCCAGUGGCACCAAUACCCUUCUACCUUGACAGUGGCACCAAUACCCUCCUACCUUGCCAGUGGCACCAAUACCCUCCUACCUUGCCAGUGGCACCAAUACCCUUCUACCUUGACAGUGGCACCAAUACCCUCCUACCUUGCCAGUGGCACCAAUACCCUCCUACCUUGCUAGUGGCACCAAUACCCUUCUACCCUGAAACCUACCACUCUUCUCUGAGUGUCUAACUACUGCCAUGUCCCUUUCUGACUUAGAGUCCUCAUGAACAGAGCCUAUAAAUUAAGGUGGGAGUUUUUCCCUGGGGAACUGCCUCUUUUCUGAAGGUUUCUUAUACCUUUCAUCCCACUCUGUAUGGGGAAAAGGGGCUUACUUAGGCAGACUGAGGGCUCACUCUACCCCCACUGCCCUGCUGGUUCCCAGUAUGAUAACAUCUCCUUUCCCUCCAUCUCCUCACCACCUUCGCCCCAGGGAGGAGAGGUACAGGAAAGGCCCCACCAGGCCCCCUGGUACCACUCCUGGAGCUACAGCCUCGGAGCCCCCUGGGAGCCCGACUCCUUCAACGCUGGCAGCAACUAUGGCUCAAGGCCCUGGACAGACAGUACCGGCUACAGGCUGCUACCCAGCACCUGGAGGAGCAAGCAGCCUUUGCCCACUUUGACUUUGGUGGAUGGAGGAAACGCUACUUGCAGUGGAUCAGCCAUAGGAAGUCCCGGCUCCUGGAUGUGUUCCGUGCCAUUGACCGUGACCAGGAUGGACGAAUCACCCACCAGGAGUUCAUCGACAGCGUCCUUGCCUCCAGUGAGAAGGACCCUUAGGGAGUUGGGGGAAGGAGGGAUGGUCAAGGCAAGAGGGGGAUGGUAGGAAGGGGUGGGGAAAAGAAGGGCCAGGUCAAAAUAGUACAGACAAUUUUGCUUCAUCUUCUUACUUGUCUUAAUCAGUCAUUAACAAGCUUUUACUGGAACUUUUCCACACCCCUUGACCUUACCCAACCAUGGGGCCCAGCCCAGAAUCUCAGAGUUGAAAGUUAUACAUCUGACCAAGAAUCUCUCUACAACAGAAAUAACCACAAGUAACCAUUCAGCCUCUGUUUGGAGACUUCUAGUGAAGAGUAUUUCUCAAAGCAGCCCCUCCUGCUUUGGGAUAACUCUAAUUCUCAUGGUACUAAUUCAUGACAUCAGGCCUAAAUAUGCUUUUUCCACUCCUAUGACUCCACCCAUUACUCCCUAGUCCUACCUUCUGGGGCCAGACUGAGUUAGUUUAAUACCUUUACUACAUGAGAGCCCUUCAAAGAGUUGAACACCACCUGUGAUUCCUUCUCCCCUCCCUGCCCUACAGCUUCUCUUGAACAGGCCAAACAUCCAUAGUUUCUAGAACUGAUCCUUAUAUAGCAUGAUCUCCUGGCCAGAGUGGCCUUCACCAUCCUAAUGCCCUCAUUGGUUUUUCAAUGUCUUUCCUAUGCCACUCAUUUUGUGACUUUGGACAUAACCUAUUUGAGUCUCUGUUUUUUCAUCUAUAAAGUGAUGAGAAUGAUGAAUUUGUACUAUAUGACCUCUGGGGAUUCUUCUAGCCCAUGAAUGGAUCUAGAACCAAAUAUAUAGCACCCUUCCGGAUAUGGCAGGAC
ensembl:lncRNA